GGUUAAGUGACUAAGCGUACAUGGUGGAUGCCUUGGCAGUCAGAGGCGAUGAAGGACGUACUAACCUGCGAUAAGCCGUGAGCAGUCGGUAAGAGACAUUACGACUCACGGAUUUCCGAAUGGGGAAACCCACUUAGCAUAAGCUAGGUAUCGCUGCGUGAAUACAUAGCGUAGCGAGGCGAACCGGGAGAACUGAAACAUCUAAGUACCCCGAGGAAAAGAAAUCAACCGAGAUUCCCUCAGUAGCGGCGAGCGAACGGGGAUUAGCCCUUAAGCAUCUUGGAAGUUAGUGGAACGGUCCUGGAAAGGCCGGCGAUACAGGGUGAUAGCCCCGUACACGAAAACAACCUUGAUGUGAAAUCGAGUAGGGCGGGACACGUGACAUCCUGUCUGAAUAUGGGGGGACCAUCCUCCAAGGCUAAAUACUCCUGACUGACCGAUAGUGAACCAGUACCGUGAGGGAAAGGCGAAAAGAACCCCUGUGAGGGGAGUGAAAUAGAACCUGAAACCGUGUACGUACAAGCAGUGGGAGCCCUUCGGGGUGACUGCGUACCUUUUGUAUAAUGGGUCAGCGACUUACAUUUUGUAGCGAGGUUAACCGUAUAGGGGAGCCGUAGGGAAACCGAGUCUUAACUGGGCGUCUAGUUGCAAGGUGUAGACCCGAAACCGGGUGAUCUAGCCAUGGGCAGGUUGAAGGUUGAGUAACAUCAACUGGAGGACCGAACCCACUAACGUUGCAAAGUUAGGGGAUGACCUGUGGCUGGGGGUGAAAGGCCAAUCAAACUCGGAGAUAGCUGGUUCUCCCCGAAAGCUAUUUAGGUAGCGCCUCGGACGAAUACUACUGGGGGUAGAGCACUGUUUGGGCUAGGGGGUCAUCCCGACUUACCAACCCCAUGCAAACUCCGAAUACCAGUAAGUAAUAUCCGGGAGACACACGGCGGGUGCUAACGUCCGUCGUGAAGAGGGAAACAACCCAGACCGCCGGCUAAGGUCCCAAAGUUCUGGUUAAGUGGGAAACGAUGUGGGAAGGCUCAGACAGCUAGGAUGUUGGCUUAGAAGCAGCCAUCAUUUAAAGAAAGCGUAAUAGCUCACUAGUCGAGUCGGCCUGCGCGGAAGAUGUAACGGGGCUCAAACCAGGCACCGAAGCCGCGGAUUCACGCUAAGCGUGAGUGGUAGGGGAGCGUUCUGUAAGUCUGCGAAGGUGUAUCGAGAGGUAUGCUGGAGAUAUCAGAAGUGCGAAUGCUGACGUAAGUAACGAUAAAGGGGGUGAAAAGCCUCCUCGCCGGAAGACCAAGGGUUCCUGUCCAACGUUAAUCGGGGCAGGGUGAGUCGACCCCUAAGGCGAGGCCGAAAGGCGUAGUCGAUGGGAAGCAGGUUAAUAUUCCUGCACGACUUGUAAUUGCGAUGGGGGGACGGAGAAGGCUAGGUGGGCCAGGCGACGGUUGUCCUGGUGAAAGUGCGUAGGUGGUGUUUCUAGGCAAAUCCGGAGACACAACACUGAGACACGAGACGAACACACUACGGUGUGGAAGCCAUUGAUGCCCUGCUUCCAGGAAAAGCCUCUAAGCUUCAGAUUACAAGUCAUCGUACCCCAAACCGACACAGGUGGUCGGGUAGAGAAUACCAAGGCGCUUGAGAGAACUCGGGUGAAGGAACUAGGCAAAAUAGAACCGUAACUUCGGGAGAAGGUUCGCUCUUGACAGUGAAGUCCCUUGCGGAUGGAGCAGUUGGGAGUCGCAGUGACCAGAUGGCUGGGACUGUUUAUCAAAAACACAGCACUCUGCAAACACGAAAGUGGACGUAUAGGGUGUGACACCUGCCCGGUGCCGGAAGGUUAAUUGAUGGGGUUAGCGCAAGCGAAGCUCUUGAUCGAAGCCCCGGUAAACGGCGGCCGUAACUAUAACGGUCCUAAGGUAGCGAAAUUCCUUGUCGGGUAAGUUCCGACCUGCACGAAUGGUGUAACCAUGGCCAUGCUGUCUCCACCCGAGACUCAGUGAAAUCGAAUUCGCCGUGAAGAUGCGGUGUACCCGCGGCUAGACGGAAAGACCCCGUGAACCUUUACUACAGCUUGGCACUGAACAUUGAACCUACAUGUGUAGGAUAGGUGGGAGGCUUUGAAGGCGUGACGCCAGUUGCGCUGGAGCCGUCCUUGAAAUACCACCCUUGUAUGUUUGAUGUUCUAACGCAGGCCCGUGAAUCCGGGUCGCGGACAGUGCCUGGUGGGUAGUUUGACUGGGGCGGUCUCCUCCCAAAGAGUAACGGAGGAGCACGAAGGUUGGCUAAUCCUGGUCGGACAUCAGGAGGUUAGUGCAAUGGCAUAAGCCAGCUUAACUGCGAGACGGACAGGUCGAGCAGGUACGAAAGUAGGUCAUAGUGAUCCGGUGGUUCUGAAUGGAAGGGCCAUCGCUCAACGGAUAAAAGGUACUCCGGGGAUAACAGGCUGAUACCGCCCAAGAGUUCAUAUCGACGGCGGUGUUUGGCACCUCGAUGUCGGCUCAUCACAUCCUGGGGCUGAAGUCGGUCCCAAGGGUAUGGCUGUUCGCCAUUUAAAGUGGUACGCGAGCUGGGUUCAGAACGUCGUGAGACAGUUCGGUCCCUAUCUGCCGUGGGCGUUGGAUGAUUGAAGGGAGUUGCUCCUAGUACGAGAGGACCGGAGUGAACGAACCUCUGGUGUUCGGGUUGUCACGCCAGUGGCACUGCCCGGUAGCUAAGUUCGGAAUCGAUAACCGCUGAAAGCAUCUAAGCGGGAAGCGAGCCCUGAGAUGAGUCAUCCCUGACCCCUUGAGGGUCCUAAAGGGCCGUUGGAGACCACAACGUUGAUAGGUGGGGUGUGUAAGCGCGGUGACGUGUUGAGCUAACCCAUACUAAUUACCCGUGAGGCUUAACCAU
rnacentral:rRNA from 1 species